AGUCGGCGUGCCUUGCAGCUGUUGGCUUGACCCCAGGCCGGGACGGGCAGAGCGGAACACUGCCCGGCGGGUCCAGGCCGACCGUGCCUGUGGCUCUCCGGAACAAUAAACCCCCGGCCCCAGUGAUGUGGGCCAGACCGGACCUGGAGAGGCGGCACCGCGACCCCUCCCGCAACCCGCCUGGCGGCCGGGGGCAGCGUGACCCGGCCCGCUACCGUGUCACAGCUGGCGACUGACAAACAGCAGGCGACGUCGGGAGAACUCCCCGAGACACCCGAGACAUCAGCCUUCUCGCUCCGCGGCCCUGCAGGACCUGCCCGCCGGGAGCCCCGGAGUCCGCGGCAGCGCCGAGGGCCCCUCCCCCAGGCCUCUGGGCUCUGAGGUAACGCGGCCGCGGCUGCUCCCGGGCCCCUCGUCCCACUCGCCCCUCUCUUUUUUAUUUUUCCUCGCCCUCUCUCUCCCUUGCCCGUUCAUCUCGACCCUUUAGCAAGCAUGGAAGCCCAGCGAGGCGGGGGAUUGCUCGGAGGCCGAGCUCCCGGCAGCCUCCUCCGCCUUCCUUCCCGCUGUGCCCUCGGGGCUCCUACCUCCACCUCGGCGCGGCGCUCUGCCCCCACCCGAAGUCUCCAAGGCGGCAGCUCCCCUCUCCUGUGUGGUUCUUGGGGCCUUAGAGGCAAUGUCAUGAAAAAAAGGGCUCAUCCAUGGAAUACCAAUUCUUUUUCUUAGUGUUCACAUUGGAUUUUUCUGUUAAAAAUAGAUUGUUGGAGUUGGCUAACAAGUUGAUUACUUCCAGUCAGGCACUCUCUUCUGUAAAGUCUCUUUUGUAAACUCCUACAAGCAGCUAUUUCACUGGAUUUGAAAAGACUGACUAAAAAGAACCAUGCACUGUAACUCUCAAGUAUACAGGAAUAUUGUUAUUAGGUCACAGUGAGCCGAGAUCAUGCCACUCCACUCCAGCCUGGGUGACAGAGCAAGACUCCAUUUCAAAAAAAAAAAAAACUGAAAAUACCAAAUAUUGACAAGGAUUUGGAGCAAGUGGAACCCUCAUACAUUGCUGAUGGAAAUGCAAAAUUAUACAGCCAAUUUGGAAAAAUAACUGGGUGUGGUGGUGUGCACCUAUUUUUCCAACAACU
rnacentral:lncRNA from 1 species